rnacentral:misc_RNA from 1 species
AACGCACAUUGCGCCCUUUGGUAUUCCGAAGGGCAUGCCUGUUCGAGCGUCAUUAUCACCCCUCAAGCCCCCGGCUUGGUGUUGGACGGCUUGGCGGACGCCCCGUGCGGGUAGUCGCCCCUCCCAAAGACAAUGACGGCGGCCUCGUUGGACCCCCGGUACACUGAGUUCUUCACGGGACACGUAUCGGGUAAUAUGGGUCUACGGGGCACGGUCUACCUCCCAUCAGGGAGAAUCUUUUCUCAAGGUUGACCUCGGAUCAGGUAGGGAUACCCGCUGAACUUAA